CAACCGGCCCUUUUCAGGGCCCACCCAACUACUCCAAAAAGGGCUAU
rfam:Branchiostoma floridae genomic scaffold BRAFLscaffold_121, whole genome shotgun sequence.